GACGGGGGAUGCAAGUGUUAUCCGGAAUCACUGGGCGUAAAGCGUCUGUAGGUGGUUUAAAAAGUCCACUGUUAAAAAUUGAAGCUUAACUUCAAAGAUGCCGUGGAAACUUUUAAACUUGAGGAUGAUAGGGGUAGAGGGAAUUUCCAGUGGAGCGGUGAAAUGCGUAGAUAUUGGAAAGACCACCAAUGGCGAAGGCACUCUACUGGGCCAUUACUGACACUGAGAGACGAAAGCUAGGGGAGCGAAUGGG
rnacentral:rRNA from 1 species